UUUGGUAUCUAUAGGCUGCAAAAUAUUUGAACGAGGUCAAAAUCUUAUUGAAUAAUUAUACAGGAUUUUGUAAAGCAGUGUAUUUCAAACUACUGUUUAUAACUAAAUAUUUUAUUUUUCAUUGAGACACCGCCCUAAAAGUGUCAAGGGUCAAGGGUGGGGGUUUGGGGGGUUACACACCAACCAUAAAUUAAGCCCCAGGACACUUUACUUUGGAGAGAAGCAAGAAUGGCUGGAGUCGACUUUUACUCUGCAUCAUAUAUGCCCAGCACUCAAGUCCUGAACGAAGUUAUAGAGAUCUUGACAACUGAUGAAGAGCUGGUGCCAAGUCUACCAACGAAUCCACAAACACCGGAGCAAGUGCGGAUCAAUCCUGCCGAGGAGAG